UACGUAGGCGGCAUAAUAAGUCUGUUGUGAAAUACCCGGGCUCAACCCGGGGGUUGCAGUAGAAACUGUUAAGCUAGAGUACAGGAGGGGUAAGCGGAAUUCCUAGUGUAGCGGUGAAAUGCAUAGAUAUUAGGAGGAACACCAGUGGCGAAGGCGGCUUACUGGACUGAUACAGACGCUGACGUACGAAAGCGUGGGGAGCGAACA
rnacentral:rRNA from 1 species